rnacentral:rRNA from 1 species
AAGCGGUGGAGCAUGUGGUUAAUUCGAAGCAACGCGAAGAACCUUACCAGGCCUUGACAUGCAGAGAACUUUCCAGAGAUGGAUUGGUGCCUUCGGGAACUCUGACACAGGUGCUGCAUGGCUGUCGUCAGCUCGUGUCGUGAGAUGUUGGGUUAAGUCCGUAACGAGCGCAACCCUUGUCCUUAGUUACCAGCACGUUAUGGUGGGCACUCUAAGGAGACUGCCGGUGACAAACCGGAGGAAGGUGGGGAUGACGCCAAGUCAUCAUGGCCCUUACGGCCUGGGCUACACACGUGCUACAAUGGUCGGUACAAAGGGUUGCCAAGCCGCGAGGUGGAGCUAAUCCCAUAAAACCGAUCGUAGUCCGGAUCGCAGUCUGCAACUCGACUGCGUGAAGUCGGAAUCGCUAGUAAUCGUGAAUCAGAAUGUCACGGUGAAUACGUUCCCGGGCCUU